rnacentral:rRNA from 1 species
ACUCAAAUGAAUAGACGGGGAGGCGCACAAGCAGUGGAGCAUGUGGUUUAAUUCGAGACAAAGCGAAAAACCUCACCUGGGUUUGACAUGUAUCUGCAAGCGCACGGAAACGUGUGAUCUUCGAGAGUGAUACACAGAUGCUGCAUGGCUGUCGUCAGUUCGUGGCGUGAGCUGUACCCUUAAGUGGGACAACGAACGCAACCCGCACCGUAUGUUAAAUAAUUCAUAUGGAACUGCCUGAGUUUUACUCAGGAGGAAGGCGCGGAUGAUGUCAAGUCCGCACGGCUCUUACACCCAGGGCUACACACAUCCUACAAUGGCGAAUAACAACGAGCUGCAAGCCGGUAACGGCAAGCUAAUCUCUUAAAUUUCGCCCCAGUUCAGAUCGAGGUCUGCAACUUGACCUCGUGAAGUCGGAAUUGCUAGUAAUCGCGAAUCAGCAGGUCGCGGUGAAUACGUUCUCGCCUCUUGCACACACCGCCCGU